rnacentral:rRNA from 1 species
GGGCGGUUAACAUGCGCUGUAUGAGGAUGGAUGAGAUAUAAGCUGUCUUGAUAAUAUUUAAUUGAAUUUAAUUUUUUAUUUAAAAAGUUAAAAUAAUUUAAAAAGACGAGAAGACCCUAUAGAGUUUUAUAUUAAAUUAAAUUAAAAUUAUUUAUAUAAUUAUUAAUAUAGAUUUAAUUUUAGUAUUUUGUUGGGGUGACAAAAAAAUAAAUAAAACUUUUUUUAUUAUUUACAUAAAUAAAUGAAUUUUUGAUCCAAUUUUAUUGAUUAAAAGAAAAAAUUACCUUAGGGAUAACAGCGUAAUUUUUUUUUUUAGUUCUUAUAAAAAAAAAAGUUUGCGACCUCGAUGUUGGA